GCGCCGGCGAUGGUUCAUUCAAAUUUCUGCCCUAUCAAGUUUCGAUGGUAGGAUAGUGGCCUACCAUGCUGGCAACGGGUAACGGGGAAUUAGGGUUCGAUUCCGGAGAGGGAGCCUGAGAAACGGCUACCACAUCCAAGGAAGGCAGCAGGCGCGCAAAUUACCCAAUCCCGAUACGGGGAGGUAGUGACAAUAAAUACUGAUACGGGGCUCUUUUGGGUCUCGUAAUUGGAAUGAGAACAAUUUAAAUCCCUUAACGAGGAACAAUUGGAGGGCAAGUCUGGUGCCAGCAGCCGCGGUAAUUCCAGCUCCAAUAGCGUAUAUUAAAGUUGUUGCAGUUAAAAAGCUCGUAGUUGAACCUUGGGUCUGGCUGACCGGUCCGCCUCACCGCGAGUACUGGUUCGGCUGGGCCUUUCCUUCUGGGGAACGUCAUGGCCUUCACUGGCUGUGGCGGGAACCAGGACUUUUACUGUGAAAAAAUUAGAGUGUUCAAAGCAGGCCUUUGCUCGAAUACAUUAGCAUGGAAUAAUAGAAUAGGACGUGCGGUUCUAUUUUGUUGGUUUCUAGGACCGCCGUAAUGAUUAAUAGGGAUAGUCGGGGGCGUCAGUAUCCAGCUGUCAGAGGUGAAAUUCUUGGAUUUGCUGAAGACUAACUACUGCGAAAGCAUUCGCCAAGGAUGUUUUCAUUAAUCAGGGAACGAAAGUUAGGGGAUCGAAGACGAUCAGAUACCGUCGUAGUCUUAACCAUAAACUAUGCCGACUAGGGAUCGGACGGGAUUCUAUGAUGACCCGUUCGGCACCUUACGAGAAAUCAAAGUUUUUGGGUUCUGGGGGGAGUAUGGUCGCAAGGCUGAACUUAAGAAAUUGACGGAAGGCACACAAGGCGUGAGCCUGCGCUUAUUUGACUC
rnacentral:rRNA from 1 species